UGAGAUGGCGGCCGAGUUGGUCUAAGGCGCCAGAUUAAGGUUCUGGUCCGAAAGGGCGUGGGUUCAAAUCCCACUCUCA
rnacentral:tRNA from 1 species